AGGAAGUAAAAGUCGUAACAAGGUUUCCGUAGGUGAACCUGCGGAAGGAUCAUUACCGAACUGUCAACAGGAGUUGUUGCUGGUCCUCAAACGGGGGCAUGUGCACGCUCUGUUUACACAUCCACUCACACCUGUGCACCCACUGUAGUUCUAUGGCCUGGGGGGCUCUGUCCUCUUGCUGUGGUUCUAUGUCUUUACACACACACACUGUAAUAAAGUUUCAUGGAAUGCAUGACGCGUUUAACGCAAUACAAUACAACUUUCAGCAACGGAUCUCUUGGCUCUCGCAUCGAUGAAGAACGCAGCGAAAUGCGAUAAGUAAUGUGAAUUGCAGAAUUCAGUGAAUCAUCGAAUCUUUGAACGCACCUUGCGCCCUUUGGGUAUCCAGAGGGCAUGCCUGUUUGAGUAUCAUGAACACCUCAACUCUCAUGGCUUUGCCGUGAUGAGCUUGGACUUUGGAGGUCUUGCUGGCCUGUGGUCAGCUCCUCUCAAAUGAAUCAGCUUGCCAGUGUUUGGUGGCGUCACAGGUGUGAUAACUAUCUACGCUUGUGGUUUUCCACCAGGUAACCUUCAGCGAUGGAGGUUCGCUGGAGCUCAUAAACGUCUCUCCUCAGCGAGGACAGCUUCUUGAACGUUUGAUCUCAAAUCAGGUAGGGCUACCCGCUGAACUUAAGCAUAUCA
rnacentral:rRNA from 1 species